rnacentral:misc_RNA from 1 species
UUAAGUUCAGCGGGUAGUCCCACCUGAUUCGAGGUCAAAAACAGAAGGCAAAACAGAUUCAGAAUCUGUCAAAGCCGAAUUAGAAGCAAUCCUAAGUGAGAGUUGGCCAUCUAGAAAGAUGUCACCCAAGCGGUCAAGAUUAUUAUCACGCUGAGCAGAACCAAUUCCACACCACAUGAGGAUCAGCUAAUGCUUUUAAG